CUGGGGCCCAGAGAAUUACCUCAGGUGAUCCCUGCCCGGCCCAUGAGUGGAUCAUGCCACCUUCCCCCCACCCAGAGGGAGCCUUGCCCCGAGGCCCCGAUGAUGCCGCCCAGCCCCCCGUGGGCAGACACAGCACUGACCACCCCUCCCUGUGCAGACCUGCUGCUGGAGGAGGAGAGCUGUGCGGACGCCCAGGACGGGGAGCUGGACGGGCUCUGGACGACUAUCUCCAUCUUCAUCACACUCUUCCUGCUCAGCGUCUGCUACAGCGCCACCGUGACCCUCUUCAAGGUGAAGUGGAUCUUCUCAUCAGUGGUGGAGCUGAAGAGGACGAUCGUCCCCGACUACAGAAAUAUGAUCGGGCAGGGAGCCUAGAGCUCCUGUGAGCAGAGUCCAGGGCGGCCACAGACCCGACUGGACAGUGUCCAUUAUUUUGAGCAUCAACCUGCACCAGGCCAGCUCCUUUGCGCUCUGACCCAGCGACCUCUGACCUCUUGGCCAGCCUCGCCCACAUCUCUACCUGCAGGCCUCACGGUCACCAAAACCUGCCCCCACCCCCGGAGACCCGAGUGGACAGCAGGCGUAGACCCCACCCAAGCUGAUGAAUGCCGAGGCCCUCUGGGAAGCCAGCAAGACACCAAUGGGCUGAGAGUCCCCGACCAGGAACACACAGGUCAGAGUUCAGUUCUGCCUGGAGGAGUAGGAGGCUGGGUCCAGGGCUGUCUGCACAGGGCACCUCCUCCCACGCCAUUCAUCUUGUCCAGGCCAGGAUUCAGACCACAGGGCCUCUGAAGGAGGAAGCUGGGUUCCCACACCGUACGCACAGGGCCCAGCCCCUGCAUCUUGUCCAGGCCUGGAUUCAGACCACAAGUCCAUGGGGGAGGCCCCUGUGUCAGAUCCUUGGGAACAGCUGUCCUGCAGGGGCCCAGCCUCCCAGCAGGGAAGCUCCUGGGAGGACCACUAACAGUUACUCAGGCCACCUCCACCAAGGACGCUGCUGUGAGCAGGGCCUGGGCCCACGGCUGCUGCAGGAGCCCUGGUGGGGAAGGGGUGACAUCCAGCCAGACAGACCGCCUGGAGAGAGGCCUGCUGACCGGUUCCUGGUGGACAGAGCUGGAGGGGCUCCCAGAAUACAGGACGUCAGGGCAGCCAGUCCAUCCGGCGGCCAACAGCCUGACACGUCCCACAGGAGCUCGGCCUGCACUGAGGGCAGGGGUGACAGGCGAGACCAGAGACCCACAGAGGCCCAGCCCCAAGCCCUGGGGCCCCGCCUCGCCUCCAAGUACAGACUCUCCCGUCAUUGCAGAAAUGUGCAUGGGCGUCUCUGGAUGGGAGGCGCUGCCCCUAGAACUGGAAGGAAGGACCACAGUCUUGGAGCUUGGGAAGCUUCUUCUGUAUACUGUCGGGGCCUGUUCAUUCUCUUUGCUGUCUCUUUAUCUCUUUAAUGACAAUAAAGCAUCUUUACUUCACCUA